GAGAUGCUGUCACAUUAUGUCCACAGUCUGGAUUCAGAGAGAGAAGAACUGCUGGUAAUCCACUCCCUUUGUCCUUUUUAUUUAAUCAGGGACUCCAGAUGUUUAAAUACCUUUUUGUGCAUAUCUUCUCAGGAUUAUUAUUUUACACCAACAUACUAGGGGCACCUGGGGCAGGGUCACUGUUCUUUCGGGCUGGUUAGUAAAUGGUAGUUAUUAUAAAUGUUUUUCUUAUUAUAGACAUCCUGCACUGGGGCAUGCAAUUCAAUGGCCUAUGAUAGUUUCUAUCCAAAAAUAGCAUAUAAGAAUAAAUAUGAUGUUGUAGGGCAUUGUUGAGUUUUAACAUUUUAACAUUCACCUGGUGAUGAUAUAAGCAAGCACAUCUUGCUUGAUGUGCAGCAGUGAUCUGCAAUAUUUUUUCUGUGUAGGCUAGACCUUUUCCGGGUAUGAGGUGUGGUAUCUACUCAUCUGUCCAUCAAUACUGUAUUGUACCCCAAGAGCAUGUGAGAUUUUAAUCAAGGAAGUGAAAUCAUCAGAGUGGAGUGGUAAAAGCUGUCCUGAGGAAAAGAUGAUCACACUCAAAUUUAUUGAGGGCUCCCUGAAUAGUGAGGUCCUUGUCAAGAUGGGGCUGCCCUAUAAAACCUAGAGAUGGAAGAGCACGUUGAGUGCACACAGUGACACACAAAGGAAGAAGGGCCAGACAAGAAGGAAUAAAGAGGAAGAAGGGCUAAGAGGAAGCUAAACUGGGAGAUAAAAGUUCAUCAUGGCAGGAAGGUGUGAUAGCAAGCAGCAGGAAUGUGAUCAGGACCAGGAAGCUAAGAGAUCUCAUCUUCAACCACAGACAUGAAGCAGAGAGAGAAGCAGAAGUAGGGCUAGUCUAAAAUCUCUCAAAACCCACCCUCAGUGAUGUACCCCUCAGCAAGGCUGUACUACCUCUCCAAACAGCA